GACAGAGGGUGCAAACGUUGCUCGGAAUUACUGGGCGUAAAGGGCGUGUAGGCGGGAAGGCAAGUCGGGCGUGAAAGCCCCAGGCUCAACCUGGGAACUGCACUCGAAACUGCCUUUCUUGAGUGCCGGAGAGGAAAGCGGAAUUCCUGGUGUAGAGGCGAAAUUCGUAGAUAUCAGGAGGAACACCAGUGGCGAAGGCGGGUCUCUGGGCCGAAAUUGACGCUGAGGAGCGAAAGCGUGGGGAGCAAACAGG
rnacentral:rRNA from 1 species